AUUUUUUCCCUUCUUUUAUUUCAAAUACAAGUAUAAUUAGCAUACUGAAAUUUUAGAGCAAAUUUAGAUGCUCAUAAAGCAGGAAAUGGCAUUUGAAAGGUUCAAAUUUAAAACAUUUUCUGGGGGAGUAUGUCGGCCACACACGUGGCCGUCGGCCAUUGCUAUCCCCCUCUAAUAUAUUAUCUGACAGAAAGAUCCCUUUUCAAAAAAUUCCCCCCACGGGAAAAUCCUUAAAAAAGGCCCUGUUGUCCUGUAUUUCGGUCUCGGAACUGUCGUAUGUCGUCACGGUAUAAGUUAACUGUGUAGUUUGUAUAUUUGCCUAGCCACAUGUUGUGAUUGAGGCUAGGUGAGGAUUGUAAGUUUAUCACCUAGUACCGUAUUUAAGUAUAGAGGAAGUUAGGUUAUGUGCAUGCUCACAGGGUUUUGAAAGCAAACCAUGCCGUGAAAUAUGUG